AGAGUUUGAUCAUGGCUCAGAUUGAACGCUGGCGGCAGGCCUAACACAUGCAAGUCGAGCGGUAGCACAGAGAGCUUGCUCUCGGGUGACGAGCGGCGGACGGGUGAGUAAUGUCUGGGAAACUGCCUGAUGGAGGGGGAUAACUACUGGAAACGGUAGCUAAUACCGCAUAACGUCGCAAGACCAAAGAGGGGGACCUUCGGGCCUCUUGCCAUCGGAUGUGCCCAGAUGGGAUUAGCUAGUAGGUGGGGUAACGGCUCACCUAGGCGACGAUCCCUAGCUGGUCUGAGAGGAUGACCAGCCACACUGGAACUGAGACACGGUCCAGACUCCUACGGGAGGCAGCAGUGGGGAAUAUUGCACAAUGGGCGCAAGCCUGAUGCAGCCAUGCCGCGUGUAUGAAGAAGGCCUUCGGGUUGUAAAGUACUUUCAGCGGGGAGGAAGGGAGUAAAGUUAAUACCUUUGCUCAUUGACGUUACCCGCAGAAGAAGCACCGGCUAACUCCGUGCCAGCAGCCGCGGUAAUACGGAGGGUGCAAGCGUUAAUCGGAAUUACUGGGCGUAAAGCGCACGCAGGCGGUUUGUUAAGUCAGAUGUGAAAUCCCCGGGCUCAACCUGGGAACUGCAUCUGAUACUGGCAAGCUUGAGUCUCGUAGAGGGGGGUAGAAUUCCAGGUGUAGCGGUGAAAUGCGUAGAGAUCUGGAGGAAUACCGGUGGCGAAGGCGGCCCCCUGGACAAAGACUGACGCUCAGGUGCGAAAGCGUGGGGAGCAAACAGGAUUAGAUACCCUGGUAGUCCACGCCGUAAACGAUGUCGACUUGGAGGUUGUGCCCUUGAGGCGUGGCUUCCGGAGCUAACGCGUUAAGUCGACCGCCUGGGGAGUACGGCCGCAAGGUUAAAACUCAAAUGAAUUGACGGGGGCCCGCACAAGCGGUGGAGCAUGUGGUUUAAUUCGAUGCAACGCGAAGAACCUUACCUGGUCUUGACAUCCACAGAACUUUCCAGAGAUGGAUUGGUGCCUUCGGGAACUGUGAGACAGGUGCUGCAUGGCUGUCGUCAGCUCGUGUUGUGAAAUGUUGGGUUAAGUCCCGCAACGAGCGCAACCCUUAUCCUUUGUUGCCAGCGGUCCGGCCGGGAACUCAAAGGAGACUGCCAGUGAUAAACUGGAGGAAGGUGGGGAUGACGUCAAGUCAUCAUGGCCCUUACGACCAGGGCUACACACGUGCUACAAUGGCAUAUACAAAGAGAAGCGACCUCGCGAGAGCAAGCGGACCUCAUAAAGUAUGUCGUAGUCCGGAUUGGAGUCUGCAACUCGACUCCAUGAAGUCGGAAUCGCUAGUAAUCGUAGAUCAGAAUGCUACGGUGAAUACGUUCCCGGGCCUUGUACACACCGCCCGUCACACCAUGGGAGUGGGUUGCAAAAGAAGUAGGUAGCUUAACCUUCGGGAGGGCGCUUACCACUUUGUGAUUCAUGACUGGGGUGAAGUCGUAACAAGGUAACCGUAGGGGAACCUGCGGUUG
rnacentral:rRNA from 1 species